GAUGAACGCUGGCGGCGUGCCUAAUACAUGCAAGUAGAACGCUGAAGCUUGGUGCUUGCACCGAGCGGAUGAGUUGCGAACGGGUGAGUAACGCGUAGGUAACCUGUCUGGUAGCGGGGGAUAACUAUUGGAAACGAUAGCUAAUACCGCAUAACAGUAGAUGUUGCAUGACAUUUGCUUGAAAGGGGCAAUUGCUCCACUACCAGAUGGACCUGCGUUGUAUUAGCUAGUUGGUGAGGUAACGGCUCACCAAGGCGACGAUACAUAGCCGACCUGAGAGGGUGAUCGGCCACACUGGGACUGAGACACGGCCCAGACUCCUACGGGAGGCAGCAGUAGGGAAUCUUCGGCAAUGGGGGCAACCCUGACCGAGCAACGCCGCGUGAGUGAAGAAGGUUUUCGGAUCGUAAAGCUCUGUUGUAAGAGAAGAACGAGUGUGAGAGUGGAAAGUUCACACUGUGACGGUAACUUACCAGAAAGGGACGGCUAACUACGUGCCAGCAGCCGCGGUAAUACGUAGGUCCCGAGCGUUAUCCGGAUUUAUUGGGCGUAAAGCGAGCGCAGGCGGUUAGAUAAGUCUGAAGUUAAAGGCUGUGGCUUAACCAUAGUACGCUUUGGAAACUGUUUAACUUGAGUGCAGAAGGGGAGAGUGGAAUUCCAUGUGUAGCGGUGAAAUGCGUAGAUAUAUGGGAGGAACACCGNUGGCGAAAGCGGCUCUCUGGUCUGUAACNGACGCUGNGGCUCGAAAGCNNUGGGGAGCAAANAGGG
rnacentral:rRNA from 1 species